rnacentral:rRNA from 1 species
CAGUAGCCGCGGGAAAACGGAGGGAGCUAGCGUUGUUCGGAAUUACUAGGCGUAAAGCGCACGUAGGCGGUUAUUCAAGUCAGAGGUGAAAGCCCGGGGCUCAACCCCGGAACUGCCUUUGAAACUAGAUGACUGGAAUCUUGGAGAGGUCAGUGGAAUUCCGAGUGUAGAGGUGAAAUUCGUAGAUAUUCGGAAGAACACCAGUGGCGAAGGCGACUGACUGGACAAGUAUUGACGCUGAGGUGCGAAAGCGUGGGGAGCAAACAGGAUUAGAUACCCGCGUAGUCCCUGUCUCUUAUAC